UACGUAGGGUCCGAGCGUUGUCCGGAAUUAUUGGGCGUAAAGGGCUCGUAGGCGGUGUGUCGCGUCGGCCGUGAAAACCUGGGGCUCAACUCUGGGCGUGCGGUCGAUACGGGCAUCACUUGAGUUCGGCAGGGGAGACUGGAAUUCCUGGUGUAGCGGUGAAAUGCGCAGAUAUCAGGAGGAACACCGGUGGCGAAGGCGGGUCUCUGGGCCGAUACUGA
rnacentral:rRNA from 1 species